UCUCAUAUCCUUCUUCUUCUU
rnacentral:piRNA from 1 species